rnacentral:rRNA from 1 species
UACGUAGGUGGCGAGCGUUAUCCGGAUUUACUGGGCGUAAAGGGCGCGUAGGCGGAUGUUCGCGUCAGAGGUGAAAGCCCCGGGCUCAACCUGGGAACUGCCUUUGAAACGGGACAUCUUGAGUUCGGGAGAGGGUAGCGGAAUUCCCAGUGUAGAGGUGAAAUUCGUAGAUAUUGGGAAGAACACCGGUGGCGAAGGCGGCUACCUAGCCCGAUACUGACGCUGAGGCGCGAAAGCGUGGGGAGCAAACAGGAUUAGAUACCCUGGUAGUCCCUGAGCGGGCU